GACGAACGCUGGCGGCGUGCUUAACACAUGCAAGUCGAACGGAAAGGCCCUGCUUUUGUGGGGUGCUCGAGUGGCGAACGGGUGAGUAACACGUGAGUAACCUGCCCUUGACUUUGGGAUAACUUCAGGAAACUGGGGCUAAUACCGGAUAGGAGCUCCUGCUGCAUGGUGGGGGGUGGAAAGUUUCGGCGGUUGGGGAUGGACUCGCGGCUUAUCAGCUUGUUGGUGGGGUAGUGGCUUACCAAGGCUUUGACGGGUAGCCGGACUGAGAGGGUGACCGGCCACAGUGGGCCUGAGAAAGGGCCCAGACGGAAUCGGGAGGCAGGAGUGGGAAAUAUAGCCAGAUGGGCGGAGGCGUGGAGGAGCACCGCCGGGUGCUGGAUGACGUCUUUCGGGAUGGAAACCCCUUUCGCUUGUACCGAGGCGUGAGUGAGGUAAAUAGGGAAAGAAGCACCGGCAAACUCCGU
rnacentral:rRNA from 1 species